UAGUAGUCCUGAUUGAACGGCAUGUCUGAGCUCUUUUUCUGUUUUCAGCGCGGCGGCUCCGCCGCGCUGAAAACAGAAAAAAGCGAGUAGUGAAAGCAGGUUCCCGA
rnacentral:misc_RNA from 1 species